UACGUAGGCAGCAAGCGUUGUUCGGAGUUACUGGGCGUAAAGGGUGUGUAGGCGGUUUGGUAGGUCCGUUGUGAAAACUCGAGGCUCAACCUCGAGACGCCGAUGGAAACCAUCAGACUAGAGUCCGGAAGAGGAGAGUGGAAUUCCUGGUGUAGCGGUGAAAUGCGCAGAUAUCAGGAAGAACACCCGUGGCUAAGGCGGCUCUCUAGUACGGUACUGACGCUGAGACGCGAAAGCGUGGGGAGCGAACAGG
rnacentral:rRNA from 1 species